rnacentral:lncRNA from 1 species
GAUGGGAGAAUGUUCAGGGCAUUUUAGUUUUUUGACACUUAAUUUUGUCUCAACAGGGAUAAAGAUUCAUAUUUUGUGGCAUAUUCAUGCUGAAAGUUCAUGCGUGUUUUCAAAGGGAGGCAACUAGAAAGAACAGGAAGUAAAAUAUCACCCUGCAAAAUAAGUUUAUCGGAGCUCAAGGUGGUACAGUAAUCAACAACAAGUGGCUUUAUUUCUGAAGUCAGAUACUUUAUCACUAUGCGUCGAUCAAUCAGAACAGCAGAACUAAUGUAAACCUGUUUCAGCUGCUUGAUGUUAAUGCCUGAAGGGAAGUGAGAUGCACAGUGCAUGUGGAACUGGUGGCAGUGAAUACAGGCAGGCUUUCAGAGGUACAAAGCACAAAGGCACUGUAUGUUCCAGUGGUUCAGUACAAGCAAAAACUGAUCCUAAAUAUCCAAAAAAUUAG